rnacentral:rRNA from 1 species
AUUGAACGCUGGCGGCAUGCUUUACACAUGCAAGUCGAACGGCAGCGCGGGCUUCGGCCUGGCGGCGAGUGGCGAACGGGUGAGUAAUGCAUCGGAACGUGCCCCGUAGUGGGGGAUAGCCCGGCGAAAGCCGGAUUAAUACCGCAUACGACCUGAGGGUGAAAGCGGGGGACCGAAAGGCCUCGCGCUAUUGGAGCGGCCGAUGUCGGAUUAGCUAGUUGGUGGGGUAAAGGCUUACCAAGGCGACGAUCCGUAGCUGGUCUGAGAGGACGACCAGCCACACUGGGACUGAGACACGGCCCAGACGCCUACGGGAGGCAGCAGUGGGGAAUUUUGGACAAUGGGGGCAACCCUGAUCCAGCCAUGCCGCGUGCGGGAAGAAGGCCUUCGGGUUGUAAACCGCUUUUGUUCGGGAAGAAAUCCUCUGGGCUAAUACCCCGGGGGGAUGACGGUACCGGAAGAAUAAGCACCGGCUAACUACGUG